rnacentral:rRNA from 1 species
GGGGGGGGGCAAGCGUUGUUCGGGAAUUACUGGGGCGUAAAGGGGCGCGCAGGCGGCCUGGCAAGUCCUACGUGAAAUCCCACAGCUCAACUGUGGAACUGCGUGGGAUACUGCCAGGCUUGAGUCCGGGAGAGGAGAGUGGAAUUCCCAGUGUAGCGGUGAAAUGCGUAGAUAUUGGGAGGAACACCGGUGGCGAAGGCGGCUCUCUGGACCGGUACUGACGCUGAGGCGCGAAAGCUAGGGGAGCAAGCGGGAUUAGAUACCCCGGUAGUCCUAGCCGUAAACUUUGAGCACUUUGUGUGGCGGGUAUCGACCCCUGCCGUGCAGAAGCUAACGCAUUAAGUGCUCCGCCUGGGGAGUACGGUCGCAAAGGCUG